AAUCAACGCUGGCGGCGUGCCUCAGACAUGCAAGUCGAACGAUUAAAGCUCUCUUCGGAGAGUGUAUAGAGUGGCGCACGGGUGAGUAACACGUAAGUAAUCUACCUUUGAGUGGGGAAUAACAGUCGGAAACGACUGCUAAUACCGCAUAACGCAAAGUCAUCGCAAGGUGGCAUUGUUAAAGAUUUAUCGCUUGAAGAGGAGCUUGCGGCAGAUUAGCUUGUUGGUAAGGUAACGGCUUACCAAGGCUACGAUCUGUAACCGGUCUAAGAGGACGGUCGGUCACACUGACACUGAAUAACGGGUCAGACUCCUACGGGAGGCAGCAGUCGGGAAUUUUGGGCAAUGGGCGAAAGCCUGACCCAGCAACGCCGCGUGAAGGAUGAAGUAUUUCGGUAUGUAAACUUCGAAAGAAU
rnacentral:rRNA from 1 species